CCUGCCUAGAGGCUUUGCAGGUGAGCUGCUGUGUUACAAGUGCACAGUAGGUGGCAGAGAGGAAAGAUGCUAUGUCUACCUUCAGUGUUUUGCCCUGUGAACAUCUGAAUUCUUAGUAGCCUAACACU